UACGGGGGGGGCAAGCGUUGUUCGGAAUUACUGGGCGUAAAGGGCUCGUAGGCGGCCAACUAAGUCAGACGUGAAAUCCCCCGGCUCAACCGGGGAAAUGCGCGUGAUACUGGCGGGCUUGAGAUCGGGAGGGGUGAAUGGAACUCCAGGUGGAGCGGUGAAAUGCGUAGAUAUCUGGAGGAACACCGGUGGCGAAGGCGGGUCUCUGGGCCGAUACUGACGCUGAGGAGCGAAAGCAUGGGUAGCGAACAGG
rnacentral:rRNA from 1 species